rnacentral:lncRNA from 1 species
GUAACACACACACUACCCCUACGUCUAGUCCUUACAGGUAACACACACACUACCCCUACACCUAGUCCUUACAGGUAACACACACACUACCCCUACAUCUAGUCCUUACAGGUAACACACACACACACACACACACACACACACACACACUACCCCUACAUCUAGUCCUUACAGGUAACACACACACUACCCCUACGUCUAGUCCUUACAGGUAACACACACACUACCCCUACGUCUAGUCCUUACAGGUAACACACACACUACCCCUACGUCUAGUCCUUACAGGUAACACACACACACUACCCCUACACCUAGUCCUUACAGGUAACACACACACUACCCCUACGUCUAGUCCUUACAGGUAACACACACACUACCCCUACAUCUAGUCCUUACAGGUAACACACACACUACCCCUACGUCUAGUCCUUACAGGUAACACACACACUACCCCUACGUCUAGUCCUUACAGGUAACACACACACACUACCCCUACAUCUAGUCCUUACAGGUAACACACACACACUACCCCUACGUCUAGUCCUUACAGGUAACACACACACUACCCCUACACCUAGUCCUUACAGGUAACACACACACACUACCCCUACAUCUAGUCCUUACAGGUAACACACACACACUACCCCUACAUCUAGUCCUUACAGGUAACACACACUCUCACACACACUACCCCUACGUCUAGUCCUUACAGGUAACACACACUCUCUCUCUCUCACACACUACCCCUACAUCUAGUCCUUACAGGUAACACACACUCUCACACACACUACCCCUACGUCUAGUCCUUACAGGUAACACACACACAACCCCUACAUCUAGUCCUUACAGGUAACACACACACACUACCCCUACGUCUAGUCCUUACAGGUAACACACACACACUACCCCUACGUCUAGUCCUUACAGGUAACACACACACACUACCCCUACGUCUAGUCCUUACAGGUAACACACACACUACCCCUACAUCUAGUCCUUACAGGUAACACACACACACUACCCCUACAUCUAGUCCUUACAGGUAACACACACACUACCCCUACAUCUAGUCCUUACAGGUAACACACACUCUCACACACACUACCCCUACGUCUAGUC